GGGGGAAGAAGCUGAUACACAGUCUGGUUGUGAGGGCCCAAAUGCUUCGGUACCUUUUUCCAGACGGCAGGAGGGUGAAGAGUGUGUGUGAGGGGUGUGUGGGGUCAUCCACAAUGCUGGUGACUUUGCGGAUGCAGCAUGUGGUGUAAAUGUCUGUGAUGGGGAGAGAGAGACCCCGAUGAUCUUCUCAGCUGUCUUCACUAUCCGCUGCAGGGUCUUGCGAAACCAGUGAGGUGCAAUUUCAGAACCAGACAGUGAUGCAGCUGCUCAAGAUGCUCUCAAUAGUUCCUGUGUAGAAUGUGGUGAUCCUCACUGCCACGUCAUUCUGUGUCUCAAACCGAGCACAGAAGUUGUUCUGGAAGGGAGGCAUUACUGUCACAGGCGGGUGAUGUUGUCCUGUCGUUGCUGAACUGGAACUUUAGAACUUAGAAAAUUAGAACUGGAGUAAGAAGAAGCGGCGUCUGAUUGGAUGAUGACCUGUCGUCACUUCCGCCUGAUUUCAACGUUGUAUGCGUGAUGCAGCAAGUGUAGCGAAACAGAAACGUCGAGAAAACGCCCAAGCGAACAUCUCUCUCCUUCGUCAGCGGUUUAGUUUUUGAUUCCGCAAAACUAAAUUAUCUUUUGUUUAAGUUAUUUACUUAUUAUAAAUAACGUACUUGUUUUAGUACGCGCGUCGGUAUGUGUAUUGACGACAUGGGAACAGAAGGGAGAAAGCAGCGCGAAAGCCGCUCCAACGGGUUUAGAAGGAAGACGGGUGUUGUGGAAGCCGCUGUACGGAGGUCGUCGAGGAAGCCUGGACGUCGUUCUCACAGCUUGGCGUCGGUGAAGGAGAAGCAGAAACAUUCAGACGCGCUCCCGUCGGGAGCGAUGGCGCCGAGAAACACCACGCAGUACCUCAUGGAGCAAGUCUACAGCGACCUGAACAUUACCGCGCUGUCCCCUAAACUGAGUAACUGUUUACCUUCUCAACACGAACAAACGUAUUCCUACAACUCUCGGUAUACUAACGAGGACACUGUGGACUUUCAGCACCGGGACUUCGAGAGCGUGUUCUUUCAGAAUGAGAUCUGAAUCGACGCCAUUUUGACGGCCGCCAUCUUGGGCCGGGGAAAAAAACCAAGAAGUCCGGAAACUUGCCGGCUGAACCUGAUUAAAAUUAAACGACACGCAUGCGCAGCAGGAGGCUCGUGGCUCUGCGGCACCAGAGUGUAAGCCCCGCCCACGCCUGCUCAGACACAUGUGCACACAGGUAAACCUGCUCCACAAAGGUGUGUGUGUAUGCUCUAUAUUGUGUUUGUGUUCUGCUGUGCAUCUGUGUUCGAGAGACUUUUGCAGGUCUGCUGCUCCAUCGCUGAUGGCUUUCAGCUGAACUUUCUGAGCAGUGGCGGUCAGAAGGACACGAGGCCGAAAGGCUCCCAGUCUUCAGGCCUGGAUGGAUCAUGGAGAUACCUGUAGCCUACAAUCAUACCUUUCGGCAGGAUUCACCUUGAAGUCAUUCAAUUCCAACGUCACGCGGUAAGUUAGAAAAAAAGGGCGUGCGAACACGAAAACGCUGCCUUAAGGAAUCAAAUAAUAAAUCUCACACCUUGUUAUAUGUAAUCUUUGCAAAACAGAGAUUAAAAUUCUUCUAAUGUGAAAGACCCGUUUAGAAAAUGAGCGUGAUUGUUCUGUUAAAUUGUUUAAUCUGUUUAUGCAGAAUUAUACAGUUAUUCUUAAGCUGGUUCACAAUCAUGACGUACCAAAAAUGUUGCCCAAUUAAGUAAUUGGAGUAAUUAGGUUGGAGUUUUCCAACCUAAAUUAAAUGUUUAUUUGCUAUGUUAAUAAUUAAAAAUAUAUAUAUUGUGAAUAAUACACUCCACAUUGUAUAUUUGUAUGAGAUUUUUAUAGGCCAAUACUGUUUUGUUUUUAACUCGGAGACUACGACACGGCCGGACCAUAGGUGACAGUACAUGCACGUCAAACACCGCCAAUAAAUCCACAGAAGAAGAAGCGGCGUCUGAUUGGAUGAUGACCUGUCGUCACUUCCGCCUGAUUUCAACGUUGUAUGCGUGAUGCAGCAAGUGUAACGCAACAGAAACGUCGAGAGAACGCCCAAGCGAACAUCUCUCUCCUUCGUCAGGGGUUUAGUUUUUGAUUCCGCAAAACUAAACUAUCUUUUGUUUAAGUUAUUUCCUUAUUAUAAAUAACGUACUUGUUUUAGUACGCGCGUCGGUAUGUGUAUUGACGACAUGGGAACAGAAGGGAGAAAGCAGCGCGAGAGCCGCUCCAACGGGUUUAGAAGGAAGACGGGUGUUGUGGAAGCCGCUGUACGGAGGUCGUCGAGGAAGCCUGGACGUCGUUCUCACAGCUUGGCGUCGGUGAAGGAGAAGCAGAAACAUUCAGACGCGCUCCCGUCGGGAGCGAUGGCGCCGAGAAACACCACGCAGUACCUCAUGGAGCAAGUCUACAGCGACCUGAACAUUACCGCGCUGUCCCCUAAACAGACACCGGGACUUCGAGAGCGUGUUCUUUCAGAAUGAGAUCUGAAUCGACGCCAUUUUGACGGCCGCCAUCUUGGGCCGGGGAAAAAAACCAAGAAGUCCGGAAACUUGCCGGCUGAACCUGAUUAAAAUUAAAGUGAGGGUUGAUAUUGUAACUCAAGUUCGUGUUACCCACUACUGUGUUUUGCUAACAUUUUGAGAACCAUGUUGAAGGUUUUUAAAAUCAAAAAGUCUGUUUUUGCUGACGCAUUAUAUACAAACAAGGGUUCAUCUCUUGGCUCUCCUUGUCUCACAGCGACACGCAUGCGCAGCAGGAGGCUCGUGGCUCUGCGUCAUGUGCCGCUGUCCCGAGAGUGUAAGCCCCGCCCACGCCUGCUCAGACACAUGAGCACACAGGUAAACCUGCUCCACAAAGGUGUGUGUGUAUGCUCUAUAUUGUGUUUGUGUUCUGCUGUGCAUCUGUGUUCGAGAGACUUUUGCAGGUCUCCUGCUCCAUCGCUGAUGGCUUUCAGCUGAACUUUCUGAGCAGCGGCGGUCAGAAGGACACGAGGCCGAAAGGCUCCCAGUCUUCAGGCCUGGGUAACUCUUAUUCUGAUCACUCUUAUUGUACUCUGAUGCACUGUGAGUUCACUGUGGAGAUGUUUGAAAGGUAACCAGGCUUGUGCACUUUGUAUAUAAAUUUGUGUUUAAAGAAAAUGUAUUAAAGUUAUUUUGCUUACA
ensembl:lncRNA